AGAGUUUGAUCAUGGCUCAGAACGAACGCUGGCGGCGUGGAUAAGACAUGCAAGUCGAACGAGAUUUUUUCCUGUAGCAAUACAGGGAAAAGUCUAGUGGCGAACGGGUGCGUAACACGUGGGCAAUCUGCCUUAAAGUGGGGGAUAGCUCGGCGAAAGCCGAAUUAAUACCGCAUGUGAUCAGGGGAGACAUCUUCCCGAAAUCAAAAGUGGCGCAAGCUACUGCUUUUUGAGGAGCCCGCGGCCUAUCAGCUAGUUGGCGAGGUAACGGCUCACCAAGGCUCUGACGGGUAGCUGGUCUGAGAGGACGACCAGUCACACUGGAACUGAGACACGGUCCAGACACCUACGGGUGGCAGCAGUCGAGAAUUUUUCUCAAUGGGGGAAACCCUGAAGGAGCGACGCCGCGUGGAGGAUGAAGGUCUUCGGGUUGUAAACUCCUGUCAUUUGGGAACAAGUGUCGGUACCUAACUGCUACCGGCUUGAUAGUACCAGAAGAGGAAGGGACGGCUAACUCUGUGCCAGCAGCCGCGGUAAUACAGAGGUCUCAAGCGUUGUUCGGAUUCAUUGGGCGUAAAGGGUGUGUAGGUGGCGCCGUAAGUCGGGUGUGAAAUUUCGGAGCUUAACUCCGAAACUGCAUUCGAUACUGCGGUGCUUGAGGACUGGAGAGGAGACUGGAAUUCAUGGUGUAGCAGUGAAAUGCGUAGAGAUCAUGAGGAAGACCAGUGGCGAAGGCGGGUCUCUGGACAGUUCCUGACACUGAGACACGAAGGCCAGGGGAGCAAACGGGAUUAGAUACCCUCGUAGUCC
rnacentral:rRNA from 1 species